rnacentral:rRNA from 1 species
CGCUGGCGGCAGGCCUAACACAUGCAAGUCGAACGGUAACAGGAAGAAGCUUGCUUCUUUGCUGACGAGUGGCGGACGGGUGAGUAAUGUCUGGGAAACUGCCUGAUGGAGGGGGAUAACUACUGGAAACGGUAGCUAAUACCGCAUAACGUCGCAAGACCAAAGAGGGGGACCUUCGGGCCUCUUGCCAUCGGAUGUGCCCAGAUGGGAUUAGCUAGUAGGUGGGGUAACGGCUCACCUAGGCGACGAUCCCUAGCUGGUCUGAGAGGAUGACCAGCCACACUGGAACUGAGACACGGUCCAGACUCCUACGGGAGGCAGCAGAGGGGC